UAGGCAAUGUGGUGUUUAGGUUGGUUCUUGGCAUUACUGCUCCACCCUAAGUCCAGCAAUGAGUACGGCUUACUGGAUUGGCCCAUUGAGGGUGAAAGGCCCGUGUGGGUGGAGACCCAGAUUGUCAGUUUUGCCCUGAAUUAACCUUGGAGUCGGGUUGUUUGUGAAUGCAGCCCAAAGUGGGUGGUAAACUCCAUCUAAGGCUAAAUACUGGCACGAGUCCGAUAGCGAACAAGUACCGUGAGGGAAAGUUGAAAAGUACUUUGAAGAGAGAGUAAACAGUUCGUGAACCCGCUCAGAGGUAAACGGGUGGAGUUGAACUGGAAGCCCUGGGGAUUCAGCUGAUGAGUAUGGCAUGAGCUUGGGCAUAUUGGUCGGCUUUCAAAGUCCGCUUAGCUGUGGGUCCUUGCCCUAACGGGUUUGGAUGUGCGUUACGCUCAUUAGGCGUUGUGCGCUCUGUCUGUUCCGGGCCUGCUCGUCAGUGCAAUUCCUCAGGGUGUUCACCACGACCGGCGCUGCUGUCUGUCUGUUGCGGUCAAACCGGUUGGGCUUAGUCAUUUUGGCUAAGUUUGAUCGGGAUGGCAGGUAGCUCUUGAGAUUUUCUGGCUUCGGUUAGUAAAGCUCUUGAGUGUAAUUAGCCGACUGUAAUGGAUCUGUGCAGUGCGUCGGAGCUGGCGGCUUUGGUGUGUGUACGCGUGCUGUACCUUGYUGGCUUGGUCAAGUUUGGUUAAUGUGUUACCUGCUUCGGUGGGUCUAUUAAUGGCUUGACUUUGCAUGGUGAGUGGUGGCGCGUGCGACGCUAUCUAGGGCCAAAAGUCUGUGGUGUUGUGGUAAACUAUCCACCCGACCCGUCUUGAAACACGGACCAAGGAGUUUAACAUGUACGCGAGUCAUUGGGCGUUACGAAACCCAAAGGCGUAGUCAAAGUAAAGGUUCGGCUUGUCCGAGCUGAGGUGAGAUCCUGCUGUUUCUCUGCCUUGGACUACCAAGCAUUCGAGCAGUAGGCGCAUCACCGGCCCGUCUCAUGAUGUAGUCAUAUGACCUUUGGUUGUGUGCACCUUCGGGGCGGAGCUAGAGCGUACACGUUGAGACCCGAAAGAUGGUGAACUAUGCCUGCGCAGGUUGAAGCCAGAGGAAACUCUGGUGGAGGACCGCAGCGAUUCUGACGCGCAAAUCGAUCGUCUAACGUGGGUAUAGGGGCGAAAGACUAAUCG
rnacentral:rRNA from 1 species